GACGAACGCUGGCGGCGUGCCUAAUACAUGCAAGUCGACCUUAGUGGCGAACGGGUGAGUAACACCUGGGUAACGUGCCCAUCAGAAGGGGAUAAAACUUGGAAACAGGCGCUAAUACCGUAUACUGAUGGAUGGACCAGCGGGGCAUUUGCUAGUUGGAGGGGUAACGGCUCACCAAGGCCACGAUGCAUACCCGGCCUGAGAGGGUGAUCGGCCACAUUGGAACUGAGACACGGCCCAAACUCCUACGGGAGGCAGCAGUAGGGAAUCUUCGGCAAUGGGCGAAAGUCUGACCGAGCAACGCCGCGUGUGUGAAGAAGGGUUUCGGAUCGUAAAGCUCUUUUGUUAGAGAAGCGGUAUCUAACCAGAAAGCCACGGCUAACUACGUGCCAGCAGCCGCGGUAAUUC
rnacentral:rRNA from 1 species